rnacentral:rRNA from 1 species
GAUUAGGCUCAGAACGAACGCUGGCGGCGCGUCUUAAGCAUGCAAGUCGAACGGCAAGAGGUAGCAAUACCUCCUAGAGUGGCGGACUGGUGAGUAACACGUGGGUGACAUACCCUUCAGAUGGGGAUAGCUAUUAGAAAUAGUAGAUAAUACCGAAUACGAGCACAGGGGUUAGAGAUCUGUGAGGAAAGGAGCUAAGGCUCCGCUGAAGGAAUGGCCUGCGGCCCAUUAGCUAGUUGGUGAGGUAAGAGCCCACCAAGGCGAUGAUGGGUAUCCGGCCUUAGAGGGUGAACGGACACAUUGGGACUGAGAUACGGCCCAGACUCCUACGGGAGGCAGCAGCUAAGAAUAUUCCGCAAUGGACGAAAGUCUGACGGAGCGACGCCGCGUGGAUGAAGAAGGCCGGAAGGUUGUAAAAUCCUUUUGAAACUGAAGAAUAAGCGUUGUAGGGAAUGACAGCGUGGUGACAGUAGGUUUUGAAUAAGCAACGGCUAAUUACGUGCCAGCCGCUGC